UCAGAUUCAUCUCUUCACCUAUCUUUUAGUCCCUACUGGGGUUGUAUAUGCUUCUUAUCCUUUAACUUGGUGCUACUGGAUAAGCUGCCUAGGGGGUUCUGGUUUGAUGGCCCUGUGCCAUGUGCUAGGCACUGCCAGGCCUGCUUUGUGGCUGCCCUCAACUCCAGGCUUGCCUUCCCUUGGGGAACCAUAUUCUUUUUAUUGGUGUUUUGGAGCAGAAGUGAGUGCCGUUGCUGCUGGUCCUGGUGGGAGUGUUUAUCUUCAACUAAGGAAAUCCUGGGGGGUGAACUAGAUUUCUUCCUCUUUUCUGCUGUGCUGUGUCCUAGCUCAUUUCCCAUUGAAUUCAUUGUCAAAAAGCAAAGGAGUGGCCUCAAGACUCCUCUUGUACGUAGCCCUAUUUCAUCCCUACCACAUUUCAUUACAUGCAUUAAAUAGAUAGAAGACCAAAAUACCAUGCCUUGUUAUGGAGAGUAGGAAUCACUUAAUUACAAACCAUUUAUUUACUAGCAGGAGUUCGGAUGUGUGCAAAGUUCUAACAUUUAUUUAUAACCAACUUGAAGGUCUGUAAACCUACAUGCUACAUGUGUGCAACUUGUGCAGCCUAAACUGUUUGUCCUCCAUAUGAACUUGGACAUAAAGAUAUAUCCAAAAUGCAGCUCUCCUUUUCUCAUGAAGGCAAUGAGUUCCAAGGCAGCUUCUCCAGAAGCAACCUGGAUGGAUGUCAGAACAUAAAAGAUUGGCAUCAGUGAUGAACAGUGAGGUAGAAGUUGCUAAUGUGAAUUCUCCAUCUGUAAGAAGUGAGAAGGGUUGAUGGAUCUCCACACAGCACCUUCUUCUGACUGUAGGAAAUUUUCUUUGCCCAUAAUUAGCAGUGAAUUAUAUGUAAAGAUCCACCACUGUACUGCCAACAAAAUAGAACUGCCACAAAAGCAAUGCCUGCUAUUUUACUAUGUUGGUGAUGUCAGAGGAGGAUGUUGGUGGUACAGCAGUAGAACCUUCCCACCAAUAUUCCUUUAUAUUUUGUUGCUGUGUGGCAGGUGGCAGCAGAGGGGCAAUCUACCAAAAUGGCAUCUGACUUGGAAGUGUGUAAGUAGCACAGGUGUGUCACUGAAUUCCUCCAUGUGGGAAAAAUGGCACCCAUUGAUAUUUAUUGAUGCUUGCUGAAUACUUAAGAGAUUAACAGUGGAUGUAAGCAUGGUGAGGGGUGGGUGGUGUGCUUCAGCAAUAGUGACUGUGGGUCACCUCUGCUGGUGAAGAUUUUGACAAAUGUAUAAUGCAGGCUCCUGUCCAUCAAUUGUGAAAAUGCAUAGCUAAUGGUGGUGACUGUUCAAAAAGAGAAUUUUGUAGCAGAUAAUUUGUACUAUCAAAUAAUGCUACUGUGCUCUUUGUAUCUGUCCUAGUGUCCAUGGAAAUACAUAGGAGGUAUUACUUUCAGAAUGACCUAAGGAUGUUAGACCCCAUGCACAAUCAUGUCCCAUUGUCUGCUCCAUUAAGAAAAGCAGAGAAAAAUAAACUCUUUUCCAACA